AUUAUCUAAUGCAAAUCCAUUCUAAGAAGGUUGUGGGGGCCAUCUGGUGUCCAAUGUAGACAGGACCUGCUGCCGAGAGGUGAACGGAGAGGACAAGGGACAGGCCGAGGGGAAUAAUGAUCUACUUCGGAGGAAGACUGCAGUGAGCCGAAAGGCCGAGUCCAUCCGUUAUCACUGCUCCCGGCACACACAUAUGGAAUCGCAAGCAAACACAUGCUGCAGAAAGCGGCCUCAGUGCCCUGAUAAAAAAGGACGCUUCCUAGAACCCGAGUUCUUUAUUUGGCACAUGAAGACAGAGGAAACACCAACCACCUGAAUGAGGAAAUGAGCUCUCUCCAGCAGCUGCCUGUGUUUGGGCUCAAAACACAGAUUCUGAUUACCAUUGUCUUGCUAGAACCUGGAUGGCAGUUUUUCUGUCUGUUACAGCCACCGUCUUCAUAAAUCAGGGAAAUUCAUUUAGACUUCAAGCUCAGAGAUGUGCGUGGGGCCCAGCGUAUGGAGGCAUACCGUCCAGUAGGUCAGGAACUCUCUGACUGUUCCUCUGAAUACAGAGGUCUUUCAUACUGCCCAGGGAGACACAGGACUCGCAUGAGAGGUUGCAUUUUGGGAGGGAGACAUGGCACUCCCUUGUCUGACAAUCCUUGGAAAUCACUAUGGAAUGUGUGUAAUUUGCCUUCACAGUUCUCUCAUCACCCCACCCCCGUGACUGCAUUCAUGCAAGCAUGCAUUCAAUCAAUCAGGCAAUAUUCAUAUGUUUAUUUUGCUUCUGUCUUAACUUGGGUUUCCUCAAUCAGCAGGUGUGGUUUGAAAGAAAAUGGCCCCCAAAGGAAAUGGCACUAUUAGGAAGUGUGGCCUUGUUGGAAAAAGUGUGUCACUGUUCGGGGUGGGCUUUGAGGUCUCCUAUGCUCAAGCUACUCCCGGUGUCACAGUCCACUUCCUGUGGCCUGCGUAUCAACAUGUAGCAGCUACCUCUCCAGCACUAUGUCUGCCUGCAUACUGCCAUGUCCCACCAUGAUGGUAAUGG